rnacentral:tRNA from 1 species
GCAGCGGUGGCCGAGUGGUUAAGGCGAUUGACUAGAAAUCAAUUGGGCUCUGCCCGCACAGG